rnacentral:rRNA from 1 species
UACGUAGGGUGCAAGCGUUGUCCGGAAUUAUUGGGCGUAAAGAGCUCGUAGGCGGUUUGUCGCGUCUGCUGUGAAAACUCGGGGCUUAACCCCGGGCCUGCAGUGGGUACGGGCAGACUAGAGUGCGGUAGGGGAGACUGGAAUUCCUGGUGUAGCGGUGAAAUGCGCAGAUAUCAGGAGGAACACCGGUGGCGAAGGCGGCCUGCUGGGCAGUGGCUGACGCUGAGGCGCGACAGCGUGGGGAGCAAACAGG